UAGGGAAUCUUCGGCAAUGGGGGGAACCCUGACCGAGCAACGCCGCGUGAGUGAAGAAGGUUUUCGGAUCGUAAAGCUCUGUUGUUAAGGAAGAACGAGUGUGAGAAUGGAAAGUUCAUGCUGUGACGGUACUUAACCAGAAAGGGACGGCUAACUACGUGCCAGCAGCCGCGGUAAUACGUAGGUCCCGAGCGUUGUCCGGAUUAAUUGGGCGUAAAGCGGGCGCAGGCGGUUAGAAAAGUCUGAAGUGAAAGGCAGUGGCUCAACCAUUGUAGGCUUUGGAAACUGUUUAACUUGAGUGCAGAAGGGGAGAGUGGAAUUCCAUGUGUAGCGGUGAAAUGCGUAGAUAUAUGGAGGAACACCGGUGGCGAAAGCGGCUCUCUGGUCUGUAACUGACGCUGAGGCUCGAAAGCGUGGGGAGCGAACAGG
rnacentral:rRNA from 1 species